GAAUGAGGAUGCUCUAUCUGGCUACCACAUCUUUCACCCUAUUGAUCACCAGAUCAGUUGAUUCGACUGAUCUGGCUGUCUAGGCAGGUGUCCCCUUCCUCCCUCAGUGCUCCACAUGCAUCCCUUCCAAAGCUGCAUGCUAGGUCAAAGAGGACGACCUUCCCCAAUAGAGAAGGACUGAUCUUCAGAAGGGUAUAGGAGUAGCUGUGUUCCCCUGCUAGAACUGCCAAACAAGUUCUCAAGGAUUCUGCAAAAAUACACAUUAAAAUCUUUUAAAGCAAGAGGUAAAAAUGUGUAGAUGAUAUUUUUUGAUUCU
rnacentral:snRNA from 1 species